rnacentral:rRNA from 1 species
UACGUAAAAAGACUAGUGUUAUUCAUCUUUAGUAGGUUUAAAGGGUACCUAGACGGUAUAAUUAGUCUUAAACAAGAAACGGUUAUGCUAGAGUUAUAUAUGAGAAGGGGAGUAUUUAUGGAGUAGAGUUGAAAUUCUUUGAUCCCAUAACGACUGGUAGCGGCGAAAGCAACCUUUUAUCUAAUAACUGACGUUGAGGGACGAAGGCUCGGGUCACGAACAGG